AAUAAUAAUUAAAAAAAAAGCGCCGGUGUCACUAAUCACAAUAACUAUUUCAUAGUAAAAACUAAAGAGAAAUAUAUAUUUCGACUUUAUAGAGGGUUUCCGUUAUAAGUCGGACACCUGUAACAUUAACAUAAUUGCAUUUUUCUGUAAAUCAUAUAAAAAAAUAAACCAAUUUAUUAAGCGACACGAAACAGGGAUAGGGAAAAAAUUUCUCUUUCGAACACCGGCACUAAUAAUAUAAAAAAUGCCAGUCGAUUUAUUAGAUAGUUUAUUGAGCUAUGUGUGUGUGUGACUGUGUCCCAUAAACCUGUAGAAACAUAUAGGCAAUGUUCUUUUAUAGCCAAUACGCGAUUAAAACAAUUUUUUCUUUCUUUUUUGUUACAAAAAGUUUUUAUGAUUGGAAAAAUUUUUAAACUCAAUUCUACCAAUUCUUUUGACCUAGAUACCGAUGUGACAGUACCGAGUAGUAAGCGAUGGAAAAAUUAAUCAUAAAAAAUAUAUGUGUAUAUAUAUAUCAGAUCUUUAUCGAAGAUAAGAAAUUUCUUAACGAAAUAGUCGGUUUGAUGAAUUAUAUCGAAAUUUUUACGAAAUCCCUACAAGUCGCUCUUCCGGAGAAGAAAUUAGAUUGAUAGUGUCUCCCAGGCAGCUAUUUUGCAUACAGAGAGACUUAAAAUUACUUUUCCUCUGUGUGCGCUAAAGUAUCCAGAGAUAUUAGCAAAAGAUAAAUGGUUCCGGAACAAUCCGAAUUCCGUAAUAAUUUAAAAAAAAAAAAAAAAAAGGAAUACCACAAGUGACCAUCGAAAUAGCGAGCAAUUAAUACCGAGCAGUUUUUAAGCGUAGAAAGAAGAAAGUGCUCUUUUUUUUUAAAGAAUAAAACACCCUUAUCCUUUUUCCCAAUGGAAGAGAGUCAUAAAUGAAUACACAUAUAGAUCUAAAUGGAGUGUUAGAUGUCAUUAGUGUUCCAAUUACUGAAUGUGAAUACGGGAAGAGCAGCGACUGGCCUCAGCAAUUGUUUAGUUAUGUCAACAGUGCACCGCACAAUUACAGACGUCAAUAGAGACGAAGUUAAUGACAUUUACUCUGUCUACCGCUUUAUAAGAUACAGCUUUAGUCUACGGAUAAUAGGGAUAAUAACAGUUUCGGCAUUUUUUUUUUUAUUCGCCAGUUUUAUCGGAAUGUUCCGUUUUCGGGAUAACUUUUCGCAAUAAGGAGAAACGCAAUAUAGAGAGAGAACAGAGGAAAAAAAAGGUCUUUCUUCGCCGAUGAAAUCGCAUUAACCAAAUUAUUAUUAACAAUAUUAUUAAGAUUGCGGGAAAAAUUUGUACGAGAACGAUUAUCGUGUUUUAAUUCGGUUAAUCGCUACAGUUACUUUAAACAUUCGAUUCAUUAUUUUAGUAGUAAUUGUCUUAUAAUGUUACCGAUUGACGAUUAACCCGUACUAACGAGUGCAAUUAUAGUUUUUACGUAAACGGAUGUAUAGAAAAUAACACAAUUUUUUUGGAAGAGAUAUUUCUAGGAACCGAUUUUUGUUUAUUUACUCAAAAAAAAAAAAAAAAAAUCACACAUUGCCCUUAAAUAAGCAAAGGGAUUUAACUACACGCCUUAACUAUCCGGAAAAAUUUACCACAACGAAAAUUCCUUAAAUUUUUUUUGUUACAUUUUCAGAAUUACGGCAUGUAUCUUGUUAAAAAUCAGGAUAAUUUUGGUAAUAAAAUUCAC
rnacentral:lncRNA from 1 species